rnacentral:rRNA from 1 species
UACGUAGGUGGCAAGCGUUGUCCGGAUUUACUGGGCGUAAAGGGCGUGCAGGCGGUCUGUUAAGUCUAGGGUGAAAGCUCCCGGCUCAACUGGGUGAGGUCCUUGGAUACUGGCGGACUUGAGGGAGGCAGAGGAGAAUAGAAUUCCCGGUGUAGUGGUGAUAUGCGUAGAUAUCGGGAGGAAUACCAGUGGCGAAGGCGGUUCUCUGGGCCUUACCUGACGCUGAGACGCGAAAGCGUGGGGAGCGAACCGG